AAGUCGUAACAAGGUAUCUGUAGGUGAACCUGCAGAUGGAUCAUUUCGAUGAAAACCUUUUUUUCUUGAGGUGUGGCUCGCACCUGUCUAACUAAACUUGAGCUACCUUUUUUUAACACGGUUGCAUCGGUUGGCCUGUCAAACAGUGCGGCGGGCAAGAAUUCAUUUUCGUGCCUGCCAAGCUAGGCGACGGACCGACACUUAAUCAACACUUUUGAUGAUCUAGGCUUUGAACGUAUAAAAGUUACUUUUUUAAUAACUAAAAAACAACUUUUGGCAACGGAUCUCUUGGUUCUCC
rnacentral:misc_RNA from 1 species